UAAGUAAACAAGUUUCAUCUCGGCGGUAAACAAGGGGACUGUGCAGAUUCGUAAGAGAUAUCGAUAGAGUCUUUUGUAGAAAUGUCUGACCAAGGAGAGAUCAAAUGCUGUGAAAAAGAGAAACCUGCGGGUGGAUCCUGUAGGUGCGGGCCUGGUUGUAAUUGUACAGAACCGGGCGGAAUCUGUAAAUGUGGCAACUGUAAGCGUCCCACCAAAGCCUGCUGUGCUGGUACAAAGGAUUGUUGUCAGAACACUGAGACUGGCAAAUGUGAAAAAGCCGACUGCAGUAGCUGCAAAAAGUGACGUCAUGGGGGAGUUAAGAAGUAGGAAGGUCAAGACUUUUUUCUGCAAAAAAAAAAGUUAAAAAAAAAAAUAAUAAAAAUAACCUAUGGGUGCCAAUUCAACGGAUGAUCGCGACAUUGGUUUUUGUGUGUAUAUUUUCUAAAAAAAAAUAUUAGUAUAAAAGUCAAUAUUAAUAUUGUUAUUAAUUCUGUGAUCUAUCAAACAAUAUACCUCCUUUUUGUCAAGUUGAACGUGUUCGAUAUGAUUUUCUUGAAUAAAUUUCUUAAAACCUU